rnacentral:rRNA from 1 species
AACGAACGCUGGCGGCAGGCUUAACACAUGCAAGUCGAACGCAUCCUUCGGGGUGAGUGGCAGACGAGUGAGUAACGCGUGGGAACGUGCCCUUCAGUUCGGGAUAACCCAGGGAAACUUGGGCUAAUACCGGAUACGUGCGAGAGCAGAAAGAUUUAUCGCUGAAGGAUCGGCCCGCGUCUGAUUAGCUAGUUGGUGGGGUAAUGGCCUACCAGGCGACGAUCAGUAGCUGGUCUGAGAGGAUGAUCAGCCACAUUGUGACUGAGACACGGCCCAAACUCCUACGGGAGGCAGCAGUGGGGAAUAUUGGACAAUGGGCGCAAGCCUGAUCCAGCCAUGCCGCGUGAGUGAUGAAGGCCUUAGGGUUGUAAAGCUCUUUCGUCCGGGACGAUAAUGACGGUACCGGAAGAAGAAGCCCCGGCUAACUUCGUGCCAGCAGCCGCGGUAA